CUUCGUUCUUAAGUUCUACAACCAA
rnacentral:rRNA from 1 species